AUCGGUGCAGACCGGAACCUCCUGAGAGACUACGAUUGAGGGGCGCCGACGUCGGGGGAAACCCUCCCGUGAGAAAGCGGGAUACUGAUAAAGACAAAGACCGGAACCAAACUAAAGCGCCCGCAGUUGGCGCUUUAGUUUU
rnacentral:sRNA from 1 species